rnacentral:rRNA from 1 species
UCCUACGGGAGGCAGCAGUGGGGAAUAUUGGACAAUGGGCGAAAGCCUGAUCCAGCCAUGUCGCAUGAGUGAAGAAGGCCUUUGGGUUGUAAAGCUCUUUUAGUGAGGAAGAUAAUGACGGUACUCACAGAAGAAGUCCUGGCUAACUCCGUGCCAGCAGCCGCGGUAAUACGGAGAGGGCUAGCGUUAUUCGGAAUUAUUGGGCGUAAAGGGCGCGUAGGCUGAUUAAUAAGUUAAAAGUGAAAUCCCGAGGCUUAACCUUGGAAUUGCUUUUAAAACUAUUAAUCUAGAGAUUGAAAGGGGAUAGAGGAAUUCCUGAUGUAGAGGUAAAAUUCGUAAAUAUUAGGAGGAACACCAGUGGCGAAGGCAUCUAUCUGGUUCAAAUCUGACGCUGAGGCGCGAAGGCGUGGGGAGCAAACAGGAUUAGAUACCCUGGUAGUCCACGCUGUAAACGAUGAAUGUUAAAUAUGGGAAGUUUACUUUCUGUAUUACAGCUAACGCGUUAAACAUUCCGCCUGGGGACUACGGUAGCAAGAUUAAAACUCAAAUGAAUUGACGGGGAUCU